AGAGUUUGAUCCUGGCUCAGAUUGAACGCUGGCGGAAUGCUUUACACAUGCAAGUCGAACGGCAGCACGGACUUCGGUCUGGUGGCGAGUGGCGAACGGGUGAGUAAUAUAUCGGAACGUGCCCAGUCGUGGGGGAUAACGUAGUGAAAAUUACGCUAAUACCGCAUACGAUCUAAGGAUGAAAGCGGGGGAUCGCAAGACCUCGCGCGAUUGGAGCGGCCGAUAUCAGAUUAGGUAGUUGGUGAGGUAAAGGCUCACCAAGCCAACGAUCUGUAGCUGGUCUGAGAGGACGACCAGCCACACUGGAACUGAGACACGGUCCAGACUCCUACGGGAGGCAGCAGUGGGGAAUUUUGGACAAUGGACGCAAGUCUGAUCCAGCCAUUCCGCGUGCAGGACGAAGGCCUUCGGGUUGUAAACUGCUUUUGUACAGAACGAAAAGGUCUCUAUUAAUACUAGGGGCUCAUGACGGUACUGUAAGAAUAAGCACCGGCUAACUACGUGCCAGCAGCCGCGGUAAUACGUAGGGUGCAAGCGUUAAUCGGAAUUACUGGGCGUAAAGCGUGCGCAGGCGGUUAUAUAAGACAGAUGUGAAAUCCCCGGGCUCAACCUGGGAACUGCAUUUGUGACUGUAUAGCUGGAGUGCGGCAGAGGGGGAUGGAAUUCCGCGUGUAGCAGUGAAAUGCGUAGAUAUGCGGAGGAACACCGAUGGCGAAGGCAAUCCCCUGGGCCUGCACUGACGCUCAUGCACGAAAGCGUGGGGAGCAAACAGGAUUAGAUACCCUGGUAGUC
rnacentral:rRNA from 1 species